rfam:Salmo salar isolate Sally breed double haploid chromosome ssa01, whole genome shotgun sequence.
UGGUUCAGUUGGUAGAGCAUGGUGUGUGCAACGCCAGGGUUGUGGGUUCGAUUCCCAC